rnacentral:rRNA from 1 species
GCUCUGGCGGGGUGGUCCACCUUUGGAUGGUACUGCUUUUGCUGGAGCUCACCUUCUGGCGAGACGUCGUGCCCUUUACUGGGUGUGGCGAGGAACCAGGACUUUUACCUUGAAAAAAUUAGAGUGUUUAAAGCAGGCUCACGCUUGAAUACAUUAGCAUGGAAUAAUAGAAUAGGACGUCGGUUCUAUUUUGUUGGUUUCUAGGACCGAAGUA